rnacentral:rRNA from 1 species
UACGUAGGGUGCAAGCGUUGUCCGGAAUUAUUGGGCGUAAAGAGCUCGUAGGCGGCUUGUCGCGUCGGCUGUGAAAACCUGGGGCUCAACCCCGGGCCUGCAGCCGAUACGGGCAAGCUAGAAUUCGGUAGGGGAGACUGGAAUUCCUGGUGUAGCGGUGAAAUGCGCAGAUAUCAGGAGGAACACCGGGGGCGAAGGCGGGUCUCGGGACAGUUCCGGAGGCGGAGGCACGAAGGUCAGGGAGCAAACGGG